GAUGAACGCUGGCGGCGUGCCUAAUACAUGCAAGUCGAGCGAACAGACGAGGAGCUUGCUCCUCUGACGUUAGCGGCGGACGGGUGAGUAACACGUGGAUAACCUACCUAUAAGAAUGGGAUAACUUCGGGAAACCGGAGCUAAUACCGGAUAAUAUAUUGAACCGCAUGGUUCAAUAGUGAAAGACGGUUUUGAUGUCACUUAUAGAUGGAUCCGCGCCGCAUUAGCUAGUUGGUAAGGUAACGGCUUACCAAGGCAACGAUGCGUAGCCGACCUGAGAGGGUGAUCGGCCACACUGGAACUGAGACACGGUCCAGACUCCUACGGGAGGCAGCAGUAGGGAAUCUUCCGCAAUGGGCGAAAGCCUGACGGAGCAACGCCGCGUGAGUGAUGAAGGUCUUCGGAUCGUAAAACUCUGUUAUUAGGGAAGAACAAAUGUGUAAGUAACUAUGCACGUCUUGACGGUACCUAAUCAGAAAGCCACGGCUAACUACGUG
rnacentral:rRNA from 1 species